rnacentral:rRNA from 1 species
AGAGUUUGAUCCUGGCUCAGGAUGAACGCUAGCGGGAGGCCUAACACAUGCAAGUCGAACGGGAUUGGUAGCAAUACCAUGAGAGUGGCGCACGGGUGAGUAACGCGUAUGCAACCUACCUGUAACAGAGGGAUAGCCCAUAGAAAUGUGGAUUAAUAUCUCAUAGUUYUAUUAGAUCGCAUGAUUUGAUAGAUAAAGCUCCGGCGGUUACAGAUGGGCAUGCGUGACAUUAGCUAGUUGGUAAGGUAACGGCUUACCAAGGCUACGAUGUCUAGGGGUUCUGAGAGGAUGAUCCCCCACACUGGUACUGAGACACGGACCAGACUCCUACGGGAGGCAGCAGUGAGGAAUAUUGGUCAAUGGGCGCAAGCCUGAACCAGCCAUCCCGCGUGCAGGAUGACGGCCCUAUGGGUUGUAAACUGCUUUUAUACACCAAGAAAAACAUCCACGUGUGGGUGCCCGACGGUAGUGUGUGAAUAGCAUCGGCUAACUCCGUGCCAGCAGCCGCGGUAA